rnacentral:rRNA from 1 species
AUUGAACGCUGGCGGCAGGCUUAACACAUGCAAGUCGAACGAGUGGCGGACGGGUGAGUAAUGCUUGUGAAUCUAGCUUAUGGAGGGCGAUAACUAAGGGGAACUGUAGCUAAUACCGCGUACAAUAGGAUGAGCCCAAGUGGGAUUGGGUAGUUGGUGAGGUAAAGGCCCACAAAGCCGACCAUCUAUAGCUGGUCUGAGAGGAUGACCAGCCACACUGGGACUGAGACACGGCCCAGACUCCUACGGGAGGCAGCAGUGGGGAAUAUUGGGCAAUGGGGGCAACCUGACGCAGCCAUGCCGCGUGAGUGAAGAAGGCCUUCGGGUUGUAAAGUUCUUUCGGUGGCGAGGCGUUAACUACAGAAGAAGCACCGGCUAACUCCGUGCCAGCAGCCGCGGUAAUAC